CUGUGCAACAUUGUUGGUGCGAGUGCAUUGCCUAGUGUCGAAUAAUGGGUAGUGUAUUUUGUAUCGUUACUGUUGUUAACUGGCGGAUGAGUUCAGUUGCCACACGUGUCAAAUGGUGAAAUAUUGCUGUACAACUGUUCUAUACAUGUCGGAUCCUUGGAACAAUGCUUCCUUUUAUAAUAAGAAAAAAAAUGCUUGGAGUGAACUCUUCAAUAAUCUCCAUCUUAAGAA